GCAGCAGCUGCGGUAAUUCCAGCGCCAAUAGCGUAUAUUUAAGUUGUUGCAGUUAAAAAGCUCGUAGUUGGAUUUCGGGCGGGUGACGGCGGUCCGCCUCUGGUGUGCACUGCUGCUCAUCCGCCUUACUGUCGGGGACGGGCUCCUGGGCUUCACUGUCCGGGACCCGGGUUCGACAUGGUUACUUUGAGUAAAUUAGAGUGUUCAAAGCAGGCGUUCGCCCUGAAUACAUUAGCAUGGAAUAGCACGAUAGGACUCUGGCCUAUUCUGCUGGUCUGUAGGACCGGAGUAAUGAUUAAGAGGGACAGUCGGGGGCAUUCGUAUUUCAUUGUCAGAGGUGAAAUUCUUGGAUUUAUGAAAGACGAACUUCGGCGAAAGCAUUUGCCAAGGAUCUUUUCAUUGAUGAAGAACGAAAGU
rnacentral:rRNA from 1 species